CCAGGGGUGUCUCAGUCUAUGUUCAUCAAAGUCCUACUGUGAGAGAUCAAGUUUGCCAUCCAAAAAGUCAACAUCUUUUCUUGCCCUCUUAACACUCUAAGUAACAGGAACAACUCAAAAUUGACUACUAUAGGUUCUCAUCCCCCAUGCUUGGCUAUGCGAUAAUGAUCUUAGCUUGGUCUACAGUAACUCUUAUCAGAAACUUUCCAUGCCUUUAAAAAUGCUUCACAGGGGGCUUCCCUGGUGGCGCAGUGGUUAAGAAUCCGCCUGCCAAUGCAGGGCACACGGGUUUGAGCCCUGGUCCCGGAAGAUCCCACAUGCCACGGAGCAACUAAGCCUGUGCGCCACAACUACUGAGCCUGCGCUCUAGAGCCCUUUCUCCACAACAAGAGAAGCCACCGCAAUGAGAAGCCCGCGCACCGCAACAAAGAGCAGCCCCCGCUCGCCACAGCUAGAGAAAGCGCGCACACAGCAACGAAGACCCAACGCAGCCAAAAUAAAAAAAAAAAAAAAAAAAAA